rnacentral:rRNA from 1 species
UACGUAGGGGGCUAGCGUUGUCCGGAUUUAUUGGGCGUAAAGGGCGCGUAGGCGGCGCAACAAGUCACUUGUGAAAUCUCCGGGCUUAACUCGGAAAGGUCAAGUGAUACUGUUGUGCUAGAGUGCGGAAGGGGCAACUGGAAUUCUCGGUGUAGCGGUGAAAUGCGUAGAUAUCGAGAGGAACACCUGCGGCGAAGGCGGGUUGCUGGGCCGACACUGACGCUGAUGCGCGAAAGCCAGGGGAGCGAACGGG